rnacentral:tRNA from 1 species
GCAGUGGUGGCUCUGUGGUAGAAUUCUUGCCUUCCAUGUGGAAGACCCGGGUUUGACUCUCGGCCAAUGCA